rnacentral:piRNA from 1 species
UCUAUUGGUGACUACUACGCCUGUGC